rnacentral:rRNA from 1 species
AUUGAACGCUGGCGGCAGGCCUAACACAUGCAAGUCGAGCGGAUGAAGGGAGCUUGCUCCUGGAUUCAGCGGCGGACGGGUGAGUAAUGCCUAGGAAUCUGCCUGGUAGUGGGGGAUAACGUCCGGAAACGGGCGCUAAUACCGCAUACGUCCUGAGGGAGAAAGUGGGGGAUCUUCGGACCUCACGCUAUCAGAUGAGCCUAGGUCGGAUUAGCUAGUUGGUGGGGUAAAGGCCUACCAAGGCGACGAUCCGUAACUGGUCUGAGAGGAUGAUCAGUCACACUGGAACUGAGACACGGUCCAGACUCCUACGGGAGGCAGCAGUGGGGAAUAUUGGACAAUGGGCGAAAGCCUGAUCCAGCCAUGGCGCGUGUGUGAAGAAGGUCUUCGGAUUGGAAAGCACUUUAAGUUGGGAGGAAGGGCAGUAAGUUAAUACCUUGCUGUUUUGACGGUACCAACAGAAUAAGCACCGGCUAACUUCGUG